GAUUGGUCAAAGCUAGGACUUUGUCAAUUUCCUUCUUUUCUUUUGUGCUUUUAGCAAAAGAGAACUAAGAACAAGAACACCCAGAAAAAAGGCAAUUAACACUUGUUGGAUUUUCUUAUAGGUAAGGAAGAUGUGAAGGCCAUGUCAAUACUUCGUCUUCACCAGAUAUAUUCAACAGGUUACUUCUAUCUAUCAGAUCCAAGAGAUGUCUAACGGAUGGCCUCUUGGACUUCAGACCAUGAGCACGAGGCUAAGAGUGGUGGAUAGCUUACAAUCCACUACAGCAGAUCCAUCCACUUUCCAUAUGCACUCUAUCAGUUUCUCAUCAUUCACUUCCUCUGAACUCAACACUGAGUCAACAAAGUCCUUCUUCCAAGACCGUAGCGUUUCGCUUGGCUGGCUGAUUGGAUUAAGACCCCAAAAUGGAGAAGAAUUGUGCUUAACCAACUCGCAUCUCUCAGAAGAUGAACAGGUAUCUGGUGCUGCAGGUGCCACCACAGAUAUGACCAGCAGACGACAAAUGAAAAUGUCUGAAUGUAUCUGCGUACCACUAUUGCUAAAUGUUCUUGUAAGGACAAGUCGAAGUAAAAACAACUCAAGACACCAAAAUUAGUGAUCAAAUUGGGGGCAAUCAAUUAUGAUGUGGAUCUAUUUUUAUUGUAAUAAAUCUUGUACAAUGAAAUACUCAUUUUAACUU